UUUAACAAAAUACAAAACACAAUAUAGACAUUCUAAAAUCUCCUUCAUGAAUGUAGGAAAUAAUGCAAAUGGCAUUAAGGGAAGAGGCAGUCCAACCAUGUAAUUGUGUGAUGGAGAGCCCUCCUAGUCAAAAGGAGGUUUAAGCUCUUACAAGGGUCAAACACCCUAUCAUGGAAGAUACAAAAGAAUGAAAGGAAACU
rnacentral:lncRNA from 1 species